rnacentral:rRNA from 1 species
AGCCAUUUAUGGCUGGGUAGGGGAGCGUCCUGCAUCCGGUGAAGCAGCAGAGUGAUCUAGCUGUGGAGGGUGUGGGAGUGAGAAUGCAGGCAUGAGUAGCGAAUAGGCAAGUGAGAACCUUGCCCGCCGAAAGACCAAGGGUUCCUGGGCCAGGCCAGUCCUCCCAGGGUGAGUCGGGACCUAAGGCGAGGCCGACAGGCGUAGUCGAUGGACAACGGGUUGAUAUUCCCGUACCCGUGUAUGUGCGUCCCUGAUGAAUCCAUUGUGCUAACCAUCCAAAACCACCGUGACCAAUCCCUUCGGGGUGCGGCGUUGGUGGGGCUGCGUGGGACCCCGGUGGGUAGUAGUCAAGCGAUGGGGUGACGCAGGAAGGUAGCCGUACCAGUCAGUGGUUGUACUGGGGUAAGCCGGUAGGGCGAAACGUAGGCAAAUCCGCGUUUCAUACAGCCUGAGAGGUGAUGCAUAGCCGUUUGAGGCGAAUUCGGUGAUCCUAUGCUGCCAAGAAAAGCCUCUAGCGAGGACAUACACGGCCCGUACCCCAAACCAACACAGGUGGUCAGGUAGAGAAUACUAAGGCGUACGAGUGAACUAUGGUUAAGGAACUCGGCAAAAUGCCCCCGUAACUUCGGGAGAAGGGGGACCCCCAUAUCGUCAAGGCUCUUGCGGCCGGCAGCGGGAGGGGGUGGCACAAACCAGUGAGAAGCGACUGUUUACUAAAAACACAGGUCCGUGCGAAGUCGCAAGACGAUGUAUACGGACUGACGCCUGCCCGGUGCUGGAAGGUUAAGAGGACCUGUUAACCCUUCGGGGUGAAGCAGAGAAUUUAAGCCCCAGUAAACGGCGGUGGUAACUAUAACCAUCCUAAGGUAGCGAAAUUCCUUGUCGGGUAAGUUCCGACCUGCACGAAUGGCGUAACGACUUCUCAACUGUCUCAACCAUAGACUCGGCGAAAUUGCACUACGAGUAAAGAUGCUCGUUACGCGCGGCAGGACGAAAAGACCCCGGGACCUUCACUACAACUUGGUAUUGGUGCUCGAUACGGUUUGUGUAGGAUAGGUGGGAGACUGUGAAGCUCACACGCCAGUGUGGGUGGAGUCGUUGUUGAAAUACCACUCUGAUCGUAUUGGGCCUCUAACCUCGGACCGUAUAUCCGGUUCAGGGACAGUGCCUGGUGGGUAGUUUAACUGGGGCGGUUGCCUCCCAAAAUGUAACGGAGGCGCCCAAAGGUUCCCUCAACCUGGACGGCAAUCAGGUGUUGAGUGUAAGUGCACAAGGGAGCUUGACUGCGAGACGUACAUGUCGAGCAGGGACGAAAGUCGGGACUAGUGAUCCGGCACCUCUGAGUGGAAGGGGUGUCGCUCAACGGAUAAAAGGUACCCCGGGGAUAACAGGCUGAUCUUCCCCAAGAGUCCAUAUCGACGGGAUGGUUUGGCACCUCGAUGUCGGCUCGUCGCAUCCUGGGGCUGGAGCAGGUCCCAAGGGUUGGGCUGUUCGCCCAUUAAAGCGGCACGCGAGCUGGGUUUAGAACGUCGUGAGACAGUUCGGUCUCUAUCCGCCGCGCGCGUCAGAAGCUUGAGGAAAUCUGUCCCUAGUACGAGAGGACCGGGACGGACGAACCUCUGGUAUACCAGUUGUUCCACCAGGAGCACCGCUGGAUAGCCACGUUCGGACAGGAUAACCGCUGAAAGCAUCUAAGCGGGAAACCCCCUCCAAGACCAGGCUUCUCACCCUUUUAGAGGGAUAAGGCCCCCCGCAGACCACGGGAUUGAUAGACCAGACCUGGAAGCCCAGCAAUGGGUGCAGGGAACUGGCACUAACCGGCCGAAAACUUACAACA